rnacentral:rRNA from 1 species
UACAGAGGGUGCAAGCGUUAAUCGGAAUUACUGGGCGUAAAGCGUGCGUAGACGGUUAUGUAAGUCAGAUGUGAAAGCCCCGGGCUCAACCUGGGAAUUGCAUUUGAGACUGCAUAGCUAGGAUGCGGAAGAGGGCAGUGGAAUUUCCGGUGUAGCGGCGAAAUGCGUAGAUAUCGGAAGGAACAUCAGUGGCGAAAGCGACUGCCUGGUCCAGCAUCGACGUUCAGGCACGAAAGCGUGGGGAGCAAACAGG